UGUGUGUGUGUGUGUGUGUGUGUGUGCAGGGCAAUCAAACCGGAACUCAAGAAAGUGUUCGUCCAAAGGCUUUUAAGCGACAACGCAAGCGGUUGAGGAUUUUGGCUAAUGUUAACAUGGAUGUAUUUUAUUAAUGUUAACAUGGAUGUAUUUUAUUAAUGUUAACAUGGAUGUAUUUUAUUAAUCAUACAAUCUUAUGUUAUGGCUUAUAACUUAGCUUUGCACUAGUAUUUUGGCUUAUGUUAACUAGCCAUUUUGUAAAUUAUGGAGAUCUAUUUUGGCUAAUGUUAACUAAUGUUAACUAAGAUUUUCUAAAUUAUGGAGAUCUUCUUAUGUACUUGUAUUUGUUGAAGUUGCAUGUAUUGGGCACUAUUAUUUUUCUUCUGUUGGGUGAUAGAGUUUAAACCAAGCUACAUUUGCAAAUUAAACCCAAUUCUAUUAGUAGGUAAUAGAAACAAAACAAUUGUCAAUUUUUUUUAAGAUUCAUAAUAUACAUGGCAAAAAUAUGCUCCAAUUAACCCAUAUCAUGAGAUUUGUAGCAUUACUUUAUUACACA
rnacentral:lncRNA from 1 species